rnacentral:rRNA from 1 species
UACGUAGGGGGCGAGCGUUGUCCGGAAUCAUUGGGCGUAAAGAGCGUGUAGGCGGCCCGGUAAGUCCGCUGUGAAAGUCGAGGGCUCAACCCUCGAAUGCCGGUGGAUACUGCCGGACUAGAGUCCGGAAGAGGCGAGUGGAAUUCCUGGUGUAGCGGUGAAAUGCGCAGAUAUCAGGAGGAACACCUAUGGCGAAGGCAGCUCGCUGGGACGUAACUGACGCUGAGACGCGAAAGCGUGGGGAGCAAACAGG